rnacentral:lncRNA from 1 species
AUGGGGAAUCAAUCUGCCAAAACGACCUCAAAAUCUCUCUCAAAUGUCAGUCCAAACGAAUUAGCCAUUAUCGAAGGUACAAUACAUAAAUCAAAUGAUAUCAAACAGAACGAUGUCCAAAAAGUAUGGAGCGAGUACAUCACCCCUACCUUGUUGCAGAACUACUCACGGUUUAUUUUCUCCAAGAGUCCCCAAAACUCUCCAAACUUAAAUUUGAAAUCAUUUACCAUUCUACUCAGUGAACUUGGUAGAGGUUCAUCAGAUCAGCAAGCUGCUGCUUUAUACUCGAUUUUAAGAACCAGCGAGAAGGUAACUGCGGGUGACAUGGAACAGUAUGUAAUACAACUUCUCCAAUCAUGCUUUAAAAUCUUAGAGAAAAAACAAAACAAAUCCUACCUAAAGUGGAAAAAAUUGCAACAGAUUCAUUUGAUUCUGAUGUAUCAGGUGUCUCAAGUUAUUUAUGUCAAGAUUUGAAGAGAGAAAACAAUGUUAUCUCCGAGGAUUUCAUCGCCA